UUCCUUUUAUUAUAUUUUUAUUAUUUUUAUUUUAGGUUUAAGAGAAAUUUUAGGUAA
rnacentral:tRNA from 1 species